GAAAAAGAAGAAAAAAGAGGAAUAUCUACGAAAUAGCCUUCGCCUGUGCUCUCAUCACCGUGGCAAGCAAGUGAACAAAGGAGAGCAGAAAAAGUGAAAAGGAAUGGUGAAAGUAAAGUAAAACCCCUCCAAACCUCAAACGUGAUAAGUUUGGGUUGUUGAUUGUUUGUUUAAUUAUCCAGUCAGUCAGUCCACUGGGAGUCUGAGAUGGCUCUGCUCCUUCCAAUCCCUGGCCCUUCAAAUUCAAGGUGGUCGGAAGAGGCAACUGCAAUUAGUCCGGGGUUUAGGGUGAGGUCGCGUCCCGGGAGCACGCUCUGGGGAGUCUUCUUGAGCCUCCAUCCCUACAAAAAUGCCAAAAGUAGAGGAAGAAGAAGAGGACAGGUUCGCUGCUGGGUGCCCAAUGCUGUGUACACCCACUCCCACACCCAAAGUAGUGAACAAGGAGGAGGAGGAGGCUCGACGCAGACGCAGUGGAAACCGAAAUCUGGGGCUGGGGGGAAGCGAAGGGACGCGGUGGAGGCAGAGGGCGACGCCAUAUCCAUUGUAAACGAGAGGAUUAGGCGGGAGCAGAGCAAGAGAGAAACGAGAACGGUGAUGGAGUCGGAGGAGGCGGACAAGUACAUAGAGUUGGUGAAGCAACAGCAGCAGAGGGGGCUUGAGAAGCUCAGAGGAGAUGCUAGUUACAAGGUCGACCCCUACACUCUUCGUUCUGGGGACUACGUCGUUCACAAGAAGGUCGGCAUUGGUCGAUUCGUUGGGAUUAAAUUCGACGUUUCCAAUUCCACCGCGGAGUAUGUCUUCAUUGAGUAUGCCGAUGGCAUGGCUAAGCUUCCUGUUAAGCAGGCCUCUCGCUUGCUCUAUCGUUAUAGUCUCCCAAACGAAACCAAAAGGCCCCGCACUUUGAGCAAAUUGAGUGACACCAGUGUAUGGGAGAAAAGAAAGACCAAAGGCAAGAUUGCCAUUCAGAAAAUGGUUGUUGAUUUGAUGGAGUUGUAUCUACAUAGGCUCAAACAAAGACGCCCUCCCUACCCAGAGACUAAUGCCAUGACUCACUUUGUUUCUCAGUUUCCUUAUGAGCCCACCCCUGAUCAAAAACAGGCAUUCAUUGAUGUUCACAAAGAUUUGACAGGGAGAGAAACCCCAAUGGACCGCUUAAUUUGUGGAGAUGUUGGCUUUGGCAAAACUGAAGUUGCCCUGCGUGCCAUCUUUUGUGUAGUUUCAUCAGGGAAACAAGCUAUGGUUCUCGCACCCACUAUUGUUUUAGCCAAGCAACAUUUUGAUGUUAUUUCCGACCGGUUUUCUGUCUACCCAAAUAUCAAGGUUGGACUUCUGAGCAGGUUUCAGACUAGAGCAGAGAAAGAGGAGCAUUUGGACAUGAUUAAAAAUGGUCAUUUGGACAUAAUUGUUGGGACUCACUCACUUCUUGGAAGUCGUGUUGUGUAUAAUAAUCUGGGUUUGCUUGUGGUUGAUGAAGAGCAGAGGUUUGGCGUCAAACAAAAAGAGAAGAUUGCUUCAUUCAAAACAUCAGUGGAUGUUCUUACUCUAUCGGCAACACCUAUACCACGUACCCUGUAUUUGGCCUUGACUGGCUUCCGUGAUGCUAGUUUGAUUUCAACUCCACCACCAGAGAGAGUCCCUAUCAAAUCCCAUCUUUCUGCAUACAGUAAAGAAAAUGUUUUAUCAGCAAUUAAGCAUGAGCUGGACCGAGGUGGCCAAGUGUUUUAUGUAUUGCCUCGUAUUAAAGGACUUGAAGAAGUGAUGGAGUUUCUUGAACAGUCAUUUCCCAAUGUUGAAAUAGCUAUUGCACACGGGAAGCAAUAUUCAAAGCAGCUAGAGGAAACCAUGGAGAAAUUUGCACAAGGUGAAAUCAAGAUUCUUAUAUGCACUAAUAUAGUAGAAAGUGGGCUUGACAUUCAGAAUGCAAACACCAUCAUCAUUCAAGAUGUUCAACAAUUUGGCCUUGCACAGUUGUAUCAGUUGCGUGGAAGGGUAGGGCGGGCAGAUAAGGAAGCUCAUGCACACUUAUUUUACCCGGAGAAGUCACUACUAACUGAUCAAGCACUGGAGAGACUUGCAGCUCUUGAGGAAUGCUGUGAACUCGGGCAAGGUUUCCAACUUGCAGAGAGGGACAUGGGAAUCAGAGGCUUUGGUACCAUCUUUGGUGAGCAACAAACAGGGGAUGUUGGAAAUGUUGGCAUUGAUCUCUUCUUUGAAAUGCUCUUUGAGAGCCUGUCCAAGGUUGAUGAACACCGUGUAGUUUCAGUUCCGUACUGGUCUGUUGAGAUUGAUAUAAAUAUAAAUCCUCAUCUCCCUUCUGAGUACAUAAAUUAUCUGGAGAAUCCCAUGGAGAUAAUUCAGGAAGCUGAGAAAGCUGCUGAGAAAGAUGUCUGGAGUUUGAUGCAAUAUGCUGAGAAUUUGCGCCGCCAAUAUGGGAAGGAGCCACCCUCCAUGGAGAUUCUUUUAAAGAAGCUGUAUGUGAGGAGGAUGGCAGCCGAUCUUGGAAUAACCAAGAUAUAUGCUUCAGGAAAGAUGGUUUUUAUGAAAACAAGUAUGAAUAAAAAGGUUUUCAAGCUGAUUACAGAUUCAAUGGUUUCUGAUGUUCACCGAAAUUCUUUGGUUUUUGGGGGUGAUCAGAUCAAGGCCGAACUUCUCCUAGAGCUACCGAGAGAACAACUCCUAAAUUGGAUCUUUCAAUGUUUGGCUGAACUUCAUGCUUCCUUACCUGCUCUGAUAAAGUAUUAGUUGUGUAGCGGUCAUAAUUCCAAUUUCUUUUUAAUGACGGUACUGCAUCAUGGAUUUGCUACUCUUGAACCUCGCAUAUAAGCAUUGGGUAUUAAAAUGAGCCCCAACAAUCUGUCUCGGUUUCUAUUGCUUCCAGGUCGUGUCUUGUAGUUCCCUGAUAUUGCAAAACCAAGAUGACCUGGCAUGAAUCACGUAAGUCAUCACAGAUUGAUGCUAGCAAUGAAUGUAUUACAACUGUUUUCCUUCUUCCUUUGGUGGGUUAGGUUCUGAUCAAGACUGCAGUUCAGUGGCAAAUAAUCCGAGGUUACUUGUGAAAUAGCUGCUGCAAGUGGCCUUUUAAGAGGGAUACAGAUUUGGCAGCGAAAUUCCCAUUCUCAUGCAUACGCAUACGCGUACGCAAAGCCUAUUUGUGCAAAGAAGGAUCGUAUGUCCUACUAAUAGUCUAAUACUUUGGCUGUCUUGCUUGUAAAUCAAGACGCCCGCUUUUUGACAUGUAAUGUUGAAAGAGAUAAGUAGUCAAGUCAGUCAUACAUUAAGAUUCAGAUAGGCAUGAGGAAGGCCGUCAACUGUAUAGUAUUGGUAGUGUAGUUUCAGCAUACAAAUUAUUUAAAAGUGAGGGUCCCAUUUUUUCUCGGUUCCUAAGAAA